UACGGGGGGGGCAAGCGUUGUUCGGAAUUAUUGGGCGUAAAGGGUUCGUAGGUGGCUUGUUAAGUCUGACGUGAAAUCCCUCAGCUUAACUGGGGAACUGCGUCUGAGACUGGUGGGCUUGAGGGCAGGAGAGGAACGCGGAAUUCCAGGUGUAGCGGUGAAAUGCGUAGAUAUCUGGAGGAACACCGGUGGCGAAGGCGGCGUUCUGGACUGCAACUGACACUGAGGAACGAAAGCCAGGGGAGCAAACGGG
rnacentral:rRNA from 1 species